AGAACCCUAACUGUUCACCUGACAAGACCUCAGGCAAAGCCCUGGCUCCCUCGGAGGAUCGGGGCUUUCUUGUUUGUAAAACAGGACACGGACUUUAGGAGCUCAGACACGAAUGCAUGCAAAAGCCUUACAGAGGGUUCAGGAGAGGAGACAGGACUUGAGUGUCACUUCCCCUCCUGCUGUCUUGUGGCCCUGCCAUGCACUGUGGCAAGUCUUCUGUUAUCUUCUGCCUGAGAGGCCGUGACUAAGAAGGUUCCAGACUUCCCGUCUAUCAAAGCCCCAGCUCAGGAAGCCUGAAGCCCACCCCGGUCACCGAGGU
rnacentral:lncRNA from 1 species